UACGGGGGGGGCAAGCGUUGUUCGGAAUUACUGGGCGUAAAGGGUUCGUAGGUGGCCAACUAAGUCAGACGUGAAAUCCCUCAGCUUAACUGGGGAACUGCGUCUGAUACUGGUUGGCUUGAGUGCAGGAGAGGAACGCGGAAUUCCAGGUGUAGCGGUGAAAUGCGUAGAUAUCUGGAGGAACACCGGUGGCGAAGGCGGCGUUCUGGACUGUAACUGACACUGAUGAACGAAAGCCAGGGUAGCAAACGGG
rnacentral:rRNA from 1 species